rnacentral:tRNA from 1 species
GGUUUGGUGGUCUAGUGGUAUGAUUCUCGCUUAGGGUAACACCCGAAGCCAGCAGAUCAUCAAUACGAUGGUAUGCAUUCAUGCGAGAGGUCCCGGGUUCGAUCCCCGGCCAAACCC